rnacentral:rRNA from 1 species
ACCAGCAGCCAUAUCACCCUGUAGCCCAAGACUGGUUGCCCACUGAAGCUAAGCAGGGCUGAGCCUGGUCAGUACCUGGAUGGGAGACCUCCUGGGAAAACUAGGUUGCUGCUGGAA